rnacentral:rRNA from 1 species
CAGUAGCCGCGGUAAUACGUAGGGUGCGAGCGUUAAUCGGAAUUACUGGGCGUAAAGCGUGCGCAGGCGGUUGUGUAAGACAGGUGUGAAAUCCCCGGGCUUAACCUGGGAACUGCGCUUGUGACUGCACAGCUAGAGUAUGGCAGAGGGGGGUGGAAUUCCACGUGUAGCAGUGAAAUGCGUAGAGAUGUGGAGGAACACCGAUGGCGAAGGCAGCCCCCUGGGCCAAUACUGACGCUCAUGCACGAAAGCGUGGGGAGCAAACAGGAUUAGAUACCCCGGUAGUCCCUGUCCUUAUACA